CGGAAGACCAAGGGUUCCUGUCCAACGUUAAUCGGGGCAGGGUGAGUCGACCCCUAAGGCGAGGCCGAAAGGCGUAGUCGAUGGGAAACGGGUUAAUAUUCCCGUACUUGGUGUUACUGCGAAGGGGGGACGGAGAAGGCUAUGUUGGCCGGGCGACGGUUGUCCCGGUUUAAGCGUGUAGGUGUGUGUUCCAGGUAAAUCCGGUUCACUUUAACACUGAGGCGUGAUGACGAGGCACUACGGUGCUGAAGCAACAAAUGCCCUGCUUCCAGGAAAAGCCUCUAAGCAUCAGGUAACAUCAAAUCGUACCCCAAACCGACACAGGUGGUCAGGUAGAGAAUACCAAGGCGCUUGAGAGAACUCGGGUGAAGGAACUAGGCAAAAUGGUGCCGUAACUUCGGGAGAAGGCACGCUGACACGUAGGUGAAGUGAUUUACUCACGGAGCUGAAGUCAGUCGAAGAUACCAGCUGGCUGCAACUGUUUAUUAAAAACACAGCACUGUGCAAACACGAAAGUGGACGUAUACGGUGUGACGCCUGCCCGGUGCCGGAAGGUUAAUUGAUGGGGUCAGCGCAAGCGAAGCUCCUGAUCGAAGCCCCGGUAAACGGCGGCCGUAACUAUAACGGUCCUAAGGUAGCGAAAUUCCUUGUCGGGUAAGUUCCGACCUGCACGAAUGGCGUAAUGAUGGCCAGGCUGUCUCCACCCGAGACUCAGUGAAAUUGAACUCGCUGUGAAGAUGCAGUGUACCCGCGGCAAGACGGAAAGACCCCGUGAACCUUUACUAUAGCUUGACACUGAACAUUGAGCCUUGAUGUGUAGGAUAGGUGGGAGGCUUUGAAGUGUGGACGCCAGUCUGCAUGGAGCCGACCUUGAAAUACCACCCUUUAAUGUUUGAUGUUCUAACGUGGACCCGUGAUCCGGGUUGCGGACAGUGUCUGGUGGGUAGUUUGACUGGGGCGGUCUCCUCCUAAAGAGUAACGGAGGAGCACGAAGGUUGGCUAAUCCUGGUCGGACAUCAGGAGGUUAGUGCAAUGGCAUAAGCCAGCUUGACUGCGAGCGUGACGGCGCGAGCAGGUGCGAAAGCAGGUCAUAGUGAUCCGGUGGUUCUGAAUGGAAGGGCCAUCGCUCAACGGAUAAAAGGUACUCCGGGGAUAACAGGCUGAUACCGCCCAAGAGUUCAUAUCGACGGCGGUGUUUGGCACCUCGAUGUCGGCUCAUCACAUCCUGGGGCUGAAGUAGGUCCCAAGGGUAUGGCUGUUCGCCAUUUAAAGUGGUACGCGAGCUGGGUUUAGAACGUCGUGAGACAGUUCGGUCCCUAUCUGCCGUGGGCGCUGGAGAACUGAGGGGGGCUGCUCCUAGUACGAGAGGACCGGAGUGGACGCAUCACUGGUGUUCGGGUUGUCAUGCCAAUGGCACUGCCCGGUAGCUAAAUGCGGAAGAGAUAAGUGCUGAAAGCAUCUAAGCACGAAACUUGCCCCGAGAUGAGUUCUCCCUGAGACUUUAGGUCUCCUGAAGGAACGUUGAAGACGACGACGUUGAUAGGCCGGGUGUGUAAGCGCAGCGAUGCGUUGAGCUAACCGGUACUAAUGAACCGUGAGGCUUAACCUUACAACGCCGAAG
rnacentral:rRNA from 1 species